GGGCACAAAAUUUUCAACAUUUCAAGCUCCUCUCUAAAAUCUCAUGCUCUCAAGCUCUAGAACUCAAAUGAAGGUUGGCUCUGAAGCUUCCAUAUCUUCCAAUCUCCAUCUCGAAGACCUGAAGCUAACAUUUUGAAGUCCCAUCUCGAAAGCCUCAUCAUCAAGAUCUGGUUGAUAUUCGCUCGAAGUAAGCCUUGAUCUUCAUCUAUCUCUGAUUUAGCGCAAGAUUUAUGUUCCGAGGUAUUGACUUUAUUGAGUGUAACAAGGAUGAAGAUUGUUGUCAUUAUCUUGGGACUGUUUGAGUUAGAGAAUUUCUUUAAGAGAUUAAUGAAACGUAUGGAGAAUUCUUAUUCUUUUGUUGUUAGUGUUUUUGGCGACUAGAUCUUGUUGGAGAAAUGCAUUUCUAAAUUUUAACUUGUUCAUUGGUUUUAUUUGCCAGAAGAAUGGAUUCUAGACUUUAACUUCUUUCAUUAAUUUCAUUUGUUGGAGGAAUUUUGUACUUAUAGAGAAAAUUCAUGUGAUUGUCUUAUAAAUUGUCUUUUUGAAAUAAAGAUUCUUGUUUUUUGCUAAUUUUUUGGACAUAGAGGGUGCUAGAGGCUUUUAAUGUUCAUAUUUCAUAUAUUGUGCUUUCACUUAUUAUCUGUUAGUUGACUUUGAAAAAUCAUCUUAGUUAGUCAUACCUUAUAAAGGUAGAACGACUGAUCUAUUAAGUCGAUAUCUAAUGUAGUAGUCUUCAAUUUCUUUUCUUCAUCUAGUUUUUUAUUUAUGAAAAUUUUAGUAGCAACAAAUCCUACCAAUUUGGAUGAUGUUCAGACCAUAUGUAACUUUAUUAGAGAAACAUAAGUUUGUGAAGCACAAUUAGCUCUUUCUCUUUUGAUCUGUUUCACUGGUCAACAUAUUUGAAGACUGAAUCUCUUUUGAAUUACUUCUUCUUAAUCUUGAAAACAUUAGUUACAUGUUAGUUUCUACCUUUAAGAUAAAAGCCAACUAUUUGUCCAUUACUAAAUUUUAUAUGUAAACCUUGUAUUUGUUCCUGGUGAAGUGUAGUAUUUGGCUCCAAUUUCUUUUCUUUCUCUAGUUUUUAAAUACAAGAAAGUGGUUUUGUACUACAAGUUGACUGUAAUGCUUCAAUUCCUUCUUUUAUAAUCAAUUUUGUGAGAUUAAUAUAGUAAAUAGAUAGUUUCAAUUAGUCGAUCGUAACUAGAAUGAUUAAGUAUGUUGAUUAUUUGAAUUAGAAUGCUUUAAUUGUUCUGUAAGUUACCUAAAAUUAGAAUGUUUUAGUAAUUGUUUGUAAGUUUACUAUAAUCACUAACUGCUUUAGUAGCUCCGUAAAUAUUUUUUAAGUCUGCCUAGUGAAUAACUUCAGAAAUUGUUCUUGCUUUUGUCAAUAUGCAUAUUUUGGCAAAAUUUGAUGAAUAUGAAUGAGAGUACCUUCUGGUAAAUUGGUUUUUGCAUGUUACUAAUUGCAUUGUAAAUUUAAAUAUGAAUAAUCUUGAGCGUGGUUGGAUGUAUGAGAGGUUGGAUGACCGAGGGGCUAUCAAUUCUAAUUUCGUAACUGGAGUGGAUAAAUUUAUCCAAUUUACAUGUUCGUAACAAAAUCGCAUGAGCGAUAACAAAGUUAGAUGUCCAUGUAAAAAAUGUCACUAUUUUAAGUUCAUGGAUGUUGAAACUGUUAAACAUCACCUUUAUAAGUAUGGAUUUGUUAAUAACUAUUUUGUUUGGAAGCAUUAAUGGGAAAAAAGAUGUGAUCGAUGAGUCUUCUUCUGAUCAGGAUUUGUAUGGUGGUGCUCAACCUGAAUUAGGAUAUGAUAAUUCAUAUUGACAAAUAAUUUUUGAUGUAGAUGGUCCUAACUUUCUCCAAUUAAGGUUCGAAUAGGCAAUUUUUUAGAAAUAUUGAACCCGAGUUGUCUCAUCCUUAUGAACCUUCAAUUGAGGAAGGUCCUAAUCCCGAAUCCCAAAAAUUAUAUGAUUUGCUAUAUGAAGUUGAUGCAAAUUUAUAUCCUAGUUCUCCCCUCUCUUAACUUGUGAUUGUCUCUCGGAUGUUACAUAUUAAAAUAGAGAAAUAUAUGUCAUAGAUAGGCUAUAGUCAAAUGAUGCAAUUAUUGAAAGUGGCUUUACCUGAAGAUAACAUAGUAUUUGAUAGCUAUUAUCAGAUCAAGAAGUUAGUGCAUAGCUUGGGUUUGCCAAUUGAAAAGAUUAUUUAUUGUGAAUCAGGAUGUAUGUUGUAUUGGGGGUGAUGAUGAACACCUUACAUCUUGUAAAAUUUGUGGCCACGAGAGAUACGGGCGUCUUGUUGGCUCUCGUAAGAGGAAAUUGAUCGCUUUAGUCAGUCUGUGAGUAAAUACUCUUCAUGACCAGUGAUUGUCACACCUUAUAAUUUUUCUCCAUAAAUGUGUGAAGGGAUCAAUUUCCUAUUAUGAGAGUCAACACGAGACUUGUAUCUCUCAGGGCCACAAAAUUUUACAAGAUGUAAAGUGUUCAUUAUUGCCUCUUAACAACAUACAUCCUGAAUCACAAUAAUUAAUCUUUUCAACUGGAAAACCCAAGCUACGCGCUAGUUUUGUUAGAUAAUAGUUAUCAAGCACUAUGUUGUCUUUGGGUAAAGACUCUUUCAACAAUUUCAUCAUUUGAUCAUAGCCUCUCUAUGACUUUAUUGUUCUUUGUUUUAAUAUUUAACAUUUGGGAGACAAGCACAAUUGAGAGAGGGAAGAACUAUGAUAUAAUUUUGCAUCAACUUCCUGUAGCUAAUCAUAUAAAUUUUGGGACUCGAGAUUAAGUUCUUCCUCCAUUAAGAUUCACAAGGAUGAGAUGACUUGGGUUUAAUAUUUCUAAAAGAUUGCCAACUCGAACCUUGGGGAAAGUUAGGACCAGCUGCAUCAAAAAGUAUUUGUUGGUAUGAAUUGUUAUAUCCUAAUUCAGGUUGGGCACCACCAUACAAAUUCUGAUUAGAAGAAAUAUCAUCAAUCACAUGUUUUCCCCUUGAUGCCUCUAAAAAAGUUAUCAACAAAUCCAGACUUAUAAAGGUGAUGUUUAACAGUUUCAACAUCCAUGUACUUAAAGUUGUGACAAUUUUAACAUGGACAUCUAACUUUGUUACUGCUCAUGCGAUUAUGUUGCAAACAUAUAAAUUGGAUAAAUUUAUCUACUCUAGUUACGAAAUUAGAACUAAUAUCCCCUCGACCAUCCAACCUCUCAUACAUCCAACCAGGCUCAAGAUUAAUCAUGUUCCAAUAAUAUUUAAACUUACUAAGUAAUUAGUAACAUGCAAAGACUAAUUUAGCAAAAGGUAUUCUUAUCCAUGUUCAUAAAAUUAUGUCAAAAUAUGCAUAUUGACAAAGCAAGAACAUAUCUAAAGUUGUUCACUAGACAGAGUUAAAAAACACUUACAAGCUACUAAAGCAGUUAGUGAUUAUAGUAAACUUACAAAACAAUUACUAAAACAUUCUAAUUUUAGUCAACAUACGGAACAAUUAAAGCAUUCUAAUUCAAAUAAUCAACAUACUUAAGCAUUCUAGUUGUAGUCAACUUGUUUAAACUAUCUAUUUACUAUAUUAAUCUCACAAAAUUGAUGAUUUAAAAAAAGGAAUUGAAUCAUUACAGUCAACUUGCAGUACAAACAACACUUUCCUGUGUGUGAAAAAUUAGAGGAAAUUUUUUUUGAGCCAAAUACUACACUUCACUAGCAACAAUUAGAAGGUCAUUACAUGUAAAAUUUACUAAUGAACAAGUACUUGGAUAAUAAAUUUUAUCUUAAAGGUAGAAAAUGACAUAUAACUAAUGGUUUCAAGAUUAAAAAGAAGUAAUUGAAAAGAGAUUCACUCUUCAGAUCUGCUGAACAAUGAAACAAUUUACAAGAGAAAGAAUUAAUUCUCCUUCACAAACUUAUCUUUUCUGAUUUGAGUUCAGUACAGUCAUAUAUGAUUUGAACAUCAUCCAAAUUGGUAGGAGUUGAUUGCUUUAAAUUGUUUGAAAUUAGAAAAACUAGAGGAAGAAAACAAAUUGAAGACAAAUACUACACUAAAUAUGGACCUAUUAGAUCAACUGCACUACCCUUAUUAGGUAUGACUAAUUAAGAUGGUUAAAAUCAGGAAAAGAACAUGUUUAGAGUUAACUAACAAAUAACAUGUGAAAACACAAUAUAUGAAUAUGAACAUUAAAAGCCUUUAGCACCCUAUCUGUCAAUUUUAUUUUAUUUUUGCAAAAAUAGAAUCUUUAUUUCAAUAAGGAAAUAUAUAAGACAAUCACAUGACAUUCCUCUAUAAGUACAACAACUCCUCAAAUAAAUAAAAUCAAUGAAAAAAGUGAAAGUCUAGAAUGUAUUCUUCUAGCAAAUAAAACCCGGUGAACAACUUAAAAUUUAGAAAUGCAUUCCUCCAACAAGAACUAAUGGCCAAAAACACACACAACAACACAAAUAAAAAUUCUCCGAACUUUCCAUUAAUCUCUUAAAGAAAUCUCUACCUCGAACAGACUCAAGAAAAUGACAACAAUCUUCAUCCUUAUAAGAUUUAGUAAAGUAAGUACCUCGGAACUUACUUCUUGAGAUAAAUUUGAGAUAGAAAUGAAGAUCAAGGGUUACUUUGAGCGAAUAUCAAUCAUAUUGAUGAUGAUGUUAUAGAAACAAAUACCUCCAACAUUUUACAUUAGAUUGUAUUGGUAAUUAAGAAGAACAUGAAACAAUAACAUUAUAUAAUUCUCUGUCUCUAGUUUAUUUUGUAUAUUAAGAAUAUACAAAGGCCUCCCACCAAAUGAUAUUAUAAACUUCACCAUGUUCUUUUGAUCAGGCAGCAUAUUGAUAAAAUGCAACAAGCUUUACUUCAUUUAGCUUCUUUCAUCAUGAGGACUAGAGGUUCAUAUAGUCGAGUUAGCUUGCACAUGUUAGAACAUAUUAUUAAUUGUGCUUUUAAUAUAUCAGAAAGCUCCAAGCUUGUGGCACCAUGAGAAAAUAAAAUAAUGUCAAUGUUUACACACUUGCAGAGAAGCAAUUGACUAACUUAAACUGAAAAGGCGAUAAUGUAACCAGAAUUGAUUUCAAACAAUUCUACAACUAAUAAUGUCGGCCUCUACAAGUCAUCUAUUUUAUUUUAGGCUUAUUUUAGCAUGAAACAUUAGAUUAUCCAAUGUUGUUUCUAAAUGCACUCUAAGAAAUUCAUUAUUUCAACAUAUUAUUGAGGCAUAUUUCAGCGCUUCUAAGAAAUUCUUUAUUUUAUUAUAUUAAUAUGUUAUUGAAGUUCCACAUUACUUAUUUCAACAAAAAUUCAUUGUACCACAUCUAGCCUAGACUUUUAGUGUAUAAACUGUUCAAUCUCUCCUUGAACAUAAAAUUCUAAUGAUUAUUAAAUUUCUAAUCUAAUAUUUUUUGUUUAGAUAGAGAUGUUGUUUUAUUUAACUCAUGGUUUGAGUAUAUUUCGAGUGAGAAAAAUAUAAAGAACCACUUUAGAAUAACAAUCGUAAAAUUAAAAAAAAAUUAUAUAUCACACAAGUUCAAAAGAUCCUAAAUCGGAAUACCAAAAUCAACCAGAAAUAUUUUUUCAGCACUAGAUUCAAUCUUACACUAACAUUAUUUAUUACCAAAAAAGAAACCCAGACAAAAGUAUAAAUAGAAAAUUUGUAUGAACACAUUUUAUUGGAAAGAAAACUAUUGUAGAAAAUAGAAAAAGAGAGAUACCUUUUACAGGGAAAAUGUAUCGGUACACAGUAGUCAUAACAAUAAAACUUACCUACAAUAUAUAAAACUAAAACAAAUUAGUGUGCAAUCAAUGUAAAUGCUUGAACCUCACUCCAAACACUUGCUUGAACCCUAACACCUAUUUUUCAGAAAACUUUACUUCUAAAAGCCUUUUACUUUCGAAAUAUUUAAAUUUUUAGAACCCCUAUUUUUUAGAAAGUAGCAAUCUUACUUCAAGCUAAAUAAAAUGGAAAGAGUUAAGAGUUAAUAUCACAUUUUCAUAACACCCAAACCACUGAAAUCUCUAUUUUCAGUGGCGUCUCAAGUAAAACGAUCCUGACCAAACAGUCAAAGUUAGGGUUCAUAUUCCCCAACUAAAAAAUAAUGGUGUGUUGGGUUGACACUUGAAAAUAGUGGUAUGUCAAAGUUAAUUUGAUAUCCAAAUGCAGAAGUAUGACCGUAAUUCCUACUUGGGGUUCUUAUUUUUCAGAGAGAAGAGUUGAAAGAUACUCCUAUUUAUAUUGGGUUUAAGCUAAAUGAAAUUAAAAUGGAGAUAAGAAUUUGAGCGAUUAACUUUCGAGAUGGUGGAGACUUCAAAACGUUUGCUUAAGAGAUUCGAACUGGAGACUUCAUCGCCCGUUAAUAUUUAAAUUUGUCACCCCUAUUUUGUUACUAAAUUCGUAGGAAAAAUUAGGCGCCAAAAUUUCCUGCUAAUAUUUAGCGACGAACUAAAUAUUUUUUUGCAACUCCAUCGUUAUAUUAUAAAUCAAAAAAUAAUUUGUUAGUUUUUCAACAAAAUGGUUGUUCUGUCACAAAUCCGUCAUUAUAUAGUGACGAAAUAUUGAUCAUCACUAAUAUCUAUCUCUAACCGUUGGUUUUUAGUAGUGUAAGAGGCAAUGAAUAUAAUUUACCAUUAAGGUUCUUCCUCCUCUUCUUUUCUUAGAUAAUAGUAGCUAAACACUUGUUCUGGUGCUGCAGCUACGAGUAAUUUUUGAACAUCGAUUGUUUUGAAUUAAUAUUGAUUAUCAUUUAAAUUACUUUUGAAUUCUUGUUUUAGUAUUUCAUGCUUGAUCACCAUAGAAAUAAAUAUGUUGUCUACGUACUCUUAAACUUGGGAGACAAAGAGGUAGAAAUACCAAAGGAUAAAAGAGAUCGAUAUCUCUUACAUAUCAUUUGUUCAAAUUAGUGUUCUGGAUUAACAUCCGGAUGAACACCGAGCUUGGUUACCAAACAGUAUGAAAUAUAAAUGCUCGUCUAUUUAGUCUGUCUAUGCCCGCUUAGCGAUUUAAUUAGACAGUCAAUUGGAGUAGAAGAUUGGAGGACGAGAGAUCAUGAUCAUAAAAUAAACACUGCAAAUCGCUAAUUUAUAACCGUAUUUAAUUCAUUAUAUGAGAUGUGAUAUAGGAAACCUUAAGUAUGUUGUAGCCCUCAAAUUUUCAAACCAUUAUAUAAGUAAUUUUAUUGUUUUAUUCUUGCAUUAUUAGUAUUUAAAUAUAAAUUAAAUUCUUUUGGUAUACCUGAAUUUUAAUAAAUUAGACUAGUAUAAUUUAGUAAAUAAGUUUAUCAACAAAUUUUUGGGUUUGAAAUUCAUUCUUUUAGAGCCAAUAUAUUAAUUGCGUGAGCAAGCACACUUGUGUGCGCAAUUGGGAGCAACAAAUUUUUGAGUCUCAAAAAACUUGAAACAAAUAUGUUAAAAGGUAAAAAUUAUGAAAAAAGAUAAAGUAAUAUUUAGAAAUUAUAUCAAAGUAAAUAUUUUUACAUAUAAAAUAGAAAAAAUGUAUAGAUUCCCUGAUUUUAUCUAGAAAAAUCAUUUACACGCUUAAACUAUUAUGACGGCUUAUUACAUACCUUUCCUAUUUAAAAGUGAAUUUGGUUACCCCAAGGAUGUUUAAAACCACUCUCACAAUAUGUGGUGUAUUACACUCACUACGCUACCACAACACUGACAUGUUAGCGCCAAGUAAGAAAUUAACAAAAAAUUAUAAUCCUUUUUAUUUUAAAUUAACUUGUUUUUGUUAACUAUAUCCUACACUAAUUAAUCUCUAAUUAAUUAGCAAAAAUCUCUAAUAAUUAUAUUUUCUUCAUAGUAAAAUUACAUGCCAGGAACACUAAUCAAAAUCUGGAGCUGAUUCAUGGACUAGGAAAUUCUCCCGUUCACUCAAAAAAAAUCCACCAUAAUUGUGGCGGCUAAAAGAUACCCAAAAUUCUAUCCCGCCGAUGAUAUUAAGAAACCCUUUAUUAACAAACACAAAUUCAAAGCCACAAAAUAUAAAUUGAUGAUUAAGUAAUAUGCUAAGCAAGUUGAAAAGAAGUUGAAGAAGGAAGAAGGAAAGAUUUUUGCCUAAUAGAAAGAGGAGAAAAAUGUGCUUCCUCAAGAGGGUGGGGGUAAGAAGAAGAGGGUGGAUUGUGAAGAAGAAGAAUGUGGAGGGUGGGUAGGGUUUAAUUGAAUUUUGAUUUGUUUUUUUCUACUGUAAUAAAUCUAACGUGCCUAUUUUUUAUUUUUUAAAAAUUAUUUUGCAACAAAAAUUUUAGGGGGUAUAUAAAUUUACUUUUAAGCAGUAAAGGUGUAUACUAUGACGUAAUCAUAGUUUAAGCGUGUAACUAACUUUUUGGAACAAGUUCAGGAGAGAAUCUAUAUGUUAUGAACCAUAGUGAUAUUAUGGAGGACAAUACGGCUAAAUCGAAAGAUAAUUUUAUUCAUCGUAGAAGGACUAACCGUGUGAAAAUACCAUCUAAAAGAUUUGUUGACUUUGUCUAACAGAACGUGGGGGCAAAGUGCACGCUAUAUAUGCAGCAAGUGGAGUAGGAAGUAUCCAAUAUAAAUCUAUUAUCUCUAGGCGUAGUUAGGUUAGGCUAUUAUUUUCGCGUUGUAUCUCUGUUUCUAAUCUCAAUUUUCUUCUAUAAUUCUCUUCUAGUCUCUUCUUUGUUUCUUCUUAUUUCCUUGCAGUUUUAAUGUAAUCAGUUGUUAUUGCAAUCCUGUUCAGUUAUUAAGGUAGUGAUCAUUGGUCGUUCCCAAGAUGGGAAAACGUUAUUUUGGAUCAUUUUAAGUCCUUAAAUGUAAUAUAUCGUAACUUGAGUUAACUAAGUUAAGCAAAGAAACCAAGAAUAAUUAUUUUUGGGAAUAAGUAGGGAAAUCUGGAAAAUUUCAUACUUGUAAAAAAAAGAAGAAGUUUCGAUCAUUUUCAAACGAUCAUAACUUCUAACUGGGGAGGAGUUUGGAUGAGUUAUUUACAUGGUUGGAAAGCCAUUGGAAAUAUCUUUCCAAGUCCGUCAAGUUUGCGAUAAAUCGAUGUCGUAUGAUGGAGAUAUGCCUUUUGGAAGUUGGAUUAUUGAGUUGAGGAAAAUCCAAUCUGGAUUUUAGCAAGGGUAAAUUUGUGUUUUCACCAUAGUAUUUCCUAAUUUGUUUUAAGGUUAAAUUAGGGGUAAACAAAGUCAGAAAUCAAUUUUAGAAAAACUAAGAACGCUUAGAGCUUCGGAGAAAAAAGAAAAGAAGAGAAAUAUCAAUAAUUGUCUAAGAACGCCAAGUCGUUGCGUAGAUUUCGUCUGGGGAGAUCUCUAUCGAUAUAUGUGAGAUCAUUCGAUGUUAGGUAUUUUCCCCCACACCCAAUUUGUUUCAAUCCAGCAAGUUAGAGUAUAUGGAAGGUUGAAUAUCGGAGUUCUUGAUGAAAAUUCGUUAAAUUCUUGUUGGUUGAAUUGUAGUUUAUCUUUAGUAGAUUUGAUUCAUGUUUCCAGACAGUUUUUGGGUCUAAUCUAUUGGGUAAAGGUGUAUUUAGUGAUCCUAAGUGUUUGGGGUGGGAUUCAUGGAAGUUUGGGAGGUUUAGAAUUGAAAAUCGGAGAAGAAAAGUAAAAAAAAACGUCUGAUAGGCCCUGGGACAUCGCGCCUACCAUAGCCCCUCAGGAUAUACUCUGUCAGGCUCUGGCGCGCCAUGCCAGCCAGAUCGCCCGAGGACAACCUCCAUCCGUCAGGCUCUGGCUUUCCAUGCCUCUCAGUGAGCAAAGCCCCUUGGAGACCCCGUUCUUUCUAUCUUUUUGUACUAGUUUCUAAGUGAUGUACCUAUCAUUCUUAGUUGAUUCCAACACUCUAGGGUACAUCUAGACAUCAUAAAAUCAUUUAUAAAUAUGAGGUUAUGAUUCUUGAAUCCAUAAUUCAAUUCAAGGAAAUUUAAGAUCAAAGUCAAAAAUGUCAGGAGUCAUGUUUAAAAGUUAAGAAGCAAGUCAAAGUAAGCUCUUAAAGUUUUCAAGGAGUCUUAAAGAAUCAUUUUAAUUUUGGCUAAUGUGUCAAGUUAAUUCAAGUUGAACUAAGAGUUAAGUUCAAGUAAAGUAAAGAGUAAGAACUAAGUUCAUUUCUCAAAGAGUAUAGAUGGGACUAAGUAUUCCCCUAAAGGUUUAUAAAUGUUUUUAUAUUUAAGUUAAGAGAAACCUAAGAUUUCCAAAAAGUUUUUGAACUAAAAGGGGAACAUUGAUUCCAAUGGAAGCCUUUUAUAGCUAAAAGGUUCAUAAAUUAUCUCAACCCAAAUGAAGAAAGUUCUAUUAAAAGUAUGAGCUAAAGUAUAUUUUAUGAGUAGUAUUGAACACCGAUGUGGAGAUGAAAGUUCAUUUAACUCAAGUCUCCAUAUCAACCAUGAAGCCAUCAUGAAACUUGACAGGUCAUACUUCUUAGAUGAUCCCGUAAUUUGAGCUAGUGGACCCACUAAGUUAAGAAAGGUCCUAUACUAAUGGAAAGGUAUAGGAUGGUCUUUGGGCAGCGUGAGGCAAAACAUUGUAUCAUCAUUUAGGCUUAAAGUGAUGGUUGUCGGUUAGAGAAUCUCCCACAAAAGUUAUAUUACUUUAAUAUAUAAUUAAAGUUGAGUUUGUUAUUGCAUUUCUUUAACAAACUAAGUUAUUUUAAUGUUUUACAAGCUUUAUAUAUUGCAUGUGUUUUAAAUUGCUUUAUACAUACUUUGAGUUAAGUAUAUUCUUGAGUUGAGUAGAGCCAAGAUAAUUUCAUCUUAUUCCCCUCAAGCUUAAGCCGUUCUUUAGCAUUCCAACUAGCAUACUCGUACAUUCAAUGUACUGAUGCUAGUUGGGCUGCAUCAUUUUAUGAUGUAGACACAGGUAACGAGGAUCAACAGUUGAGCAUUCCACAGUCACUUGGUGAGCCUCCUUGCAUCCCAGAGGACAUCCCUUUAUUUGCUUUUCAAUCUUAGUUCAUUAAGAUGUUGUGGGGUUUGUCCCAACAUCCAUCUCAGUUAUAGACAAUGUAGUAGUUCAGUUUUGGAGUAUCAUUUAUCUUAUACUUCGUAUGUUACAGUAUUGAUACUUAAGUGCCAAUUUGGCCAACACAAGUUGUUUAGUCAUCUUAUAGAAUGCCUUUAAUUCCUUA